GGCAAAAGAAAGAAAGAAAGUAUAGGAACAAAAGAAAAUACAUUGCGAAGUCGCAGAAGAAAAAAGAAGCCAGCUAAGUGACCACACGAUUUUUUUUCUUUUUUUCUCCUUCUU
rnacentral:ribozyme from 1 species